ensembl:lincRNA
UGCAGCGAGCGUUCACAGAAACAUUUAAGUUCCUCUUUUAAGAAGAGAAAUCCAACGUCUCCAUCACUCCUUCUCUGGCAAUGAUCCUGAUGCUCCACCCUUUUCUUCCUUCCCUGGUUUACUGCCCCUCGUUCUGCACAACCAUCACAUUCCUUCCACCCUCCUUCAUCCUGGUUUCUAAAACCGCAAACAAUCUCUCGCUUAGUGACGUUUUAAACGGAAGGAGCACUUGAGCAAGUUGAGACAAGGAUGAGUGCUUGGGUGGUCGAGCUGCACUGCUCCAGUGGAAGGUGUGUCCUUAGAAGACCCAUAGGUGUGGGCAACACACAAAUUCUAUCCACAGUGUUUGUCAAUUCUAUGGUUGGUGUCGUGUGUUUUGUGUGCACCACUUUUUAUCAUUUUUUAUACGAUUAUCUCACAUUGUACUAUAACUGUUCACUUUCCAUCACACAGUGUUGUGCGAAUGGGUGGGUGGUUGUGGUUACAAUUUCGAUAACAUCUCCUUUCCUUUUACUCUCAACAGAGAUCGUGGUUCGCUUACUGCAGUCGUGCUUCUGAAGCCACACGUGAUCUGAAGGUGAGUGUUUGUGUGUGUGUGGUGUGCGUUUGUGUGUAAAAUGAAGUAAAACAACUUCCAAAUGGCCUCACGUUUUUACUCCACAGAACACAGUCGUGAACAGUACUCCCGACUUUUCCCAGCACGUACCUACGAGAAUCCACAAGCAUUCUUGACUUUCCCAGCACGUAUCGCAUCCUGUCGAAAAUGGGUGCUACAUUUUCCUUGGGUGCUGCAAAGUUGACGCAGAGGAAUAUCAAGGAGGACACCAGAGGAGUUCUCAAUGAACUGAGGAAAGUGAGCAUUGAGCAAAUACAAAUCAUCAAGAAGCAUCGACACCAAGAUUCGUUUCAACAAUUGAAAUGUGAUUUAAAAGGUUUUACAAAUGUAAACAAGGAUUUAGGCAAACAGGCGAGGCAGCACAAAUCGUUCGAAGACCACCUGGGUAGAAGACAACAUGAAGUUCAGGAGGACCUCCAUUCGUGGAAAUUUUGGCUAUCUACUAAAUACCUGCAAGAUAGUUUGGCCAAGGUCGAAAAGAUGAAAAACGAUGUCUCUGAAGAUAGAGAUAUCCUAAUAAAGCUGCAGGCUCACCUUCAUGAGGUUCAGGAACGAGCAGAGCGCUUAAGAGAGAACAGCGCGCUCGAUAUCAAUUUGAAAAACAUGAUUCAGCAUCACAAUGACAUGAUCACACUUGUGGAAACGUACUGUGACGAGUAAGGGUUGUGGCGUGUAAUUUGUGCAUUAACAACUGUAACACACAAAGAUAUAGUCAAUAAAACUUGCUGUGCCAAAAUGUAUGUAUCUUUUUUCGCCACUAAAUAAGGUGCAAGUUAGGACCGUCCAAAGCUUUUGUUGAUAUGUUACCAUGACAAUAAAUAUUGCUUAUCAAAGUCGAGCUGUAUACAUACCGGUAGAAUGCAUUUCUGCUCUUUGGAAGGAAACAGACUCUUGGAAGAGAUCGUUCAUUCAUUUCAUGUACAGCUUAUGAUGGUCCAGAAGCUGGCCCUGGUGAUGGGAGGUGUGAUGCCAGCUAUCGAUGUCGCCUCCAGCUAAUGGGUGACGCGUCAACACAAGUCAGUAAAUAGCGGUGCCCAUUUUAAGGUGGUAGGGGACUGACAAGAUCCACGUGGAUCCGUUGAAACGCCUCCCUGGUGUUGAAAAGCGAUCAAGUGGUGCGACAGUAUGACGUUGGAUCUUGGAGCGUUGACAUUGAAGAAAUUGUUUGGACCAACGGCACACGUUGGCGUUGAUCUGUGGCCAGACGUAGCGCAUGGUGAUGAGUCGCUGGGUUGCUCAAAUACCCAGGUGUGCAAGUGAGUGAAGUGUCGAAGACCGUACGACGGAAUGCCCCAGGUACAAAAGGGCGUGACACAUGAGGGUAGUGUUUGUCCCUUGGAGUGAUACUUCACAAAAUGUAAGUGAACCUGCUGCAGACUGUAGACGAUGGAGCUCUGUGUCCUCCUGUUGUGCUGCUGCAUGUGCAUUAAAAUCGAUGGCCAGUGUGUUGGUAGCAGACAACGCCAAUAUCUUGAUGUGUGAGAGAAGGUCGGCCACCAAGUUCGUGAUUCCUUUGAUGUUCCGGAUGGCGGUGGUGAAUUGAGAGAUAUAACCGAGUUGGCGAAGUUUGCGAGGAGAG